UGAAUACGAGACGCUAAGGCGUCGAAGUAGUGUAUGUCAUACUUCCAAGAAAAGCUUGCACUGUCAUAGAUAAAAAACGCCUGUACCAUAACCGACACAGGUGGGUAGGUAGAGUAUACUAAGGGGCGCGAGAUAACUCUCUCUAAGGAACUCGGCAAAAUAACUCCGUAACUUCGGGAGAAGGAGUGCCUUAUUCUUAAGGUUGCAAUAACAAGAUCCAAGCAACUGUUUAUCAAAAACACAGGUCUCCGCUAAGUCGUAAGACGAUGUAUGGGGGCUGACGCCUGCCCAGUGCCAGAAGGUUAAAGAAGCUGGUUAGCAUUUGCGAAGCUAGUAACUGAAGCCCUGGUGAACGGCGGCCGUAACAAUAACGGUCCUAAGGUAGCGAAAUUCCUUGUCGGGUAAGUUCCGACCCGCACGAAAGGCGUAAUGAUUUGGAUACUGUCUCGGAGAGGGGCUCGGUGAAAUAGACUUGUCUGUGAAGAUGCGGACUACCUGCACCAGGACAGAAAGACCCUAUGAAGCUUUACUGUAACUUGAAAUUGAAAUUGGACUUUAUUCGCGCAGUAUAGGUGGGAGGCGUUGAUUAUAAUCUUGCGGGAUUAUUGGAGCCAUUAGUGAGAUACCACUCUUGUAAUGUUAGAUUUCUAACUUUGAAUCAUUAUCUGGUCAAAGAACAGUUUCAGGCGGGCAGUUUGACUGGGGCGGUCGCCUCCUAAACGGUAACGGAGGCGUACAAAGGUUUCCUCUGAACGGUUAGAAAUCGUAUCUAGAGUGUAAAGGCAUAAGGAAGCUUGACUGUGAGACCUACAAGUCGAGCAGGGACGAAAGUCGGUCUUAGUGAUCUGACGGUACUGAGUGGAAAGGCCGUCACUCAACGGAUAAAAGUUACUCUAAGGAUAACAGGCUGAUCUCCCCCAAGAGUUCACAUCGACGGGGAGGUUUGGCACCUCGAUGUCGGCUCGUCGCAUCCUGGGGCGGUAGUACGUCCCAAGGGUUGGGCUGUUCGCCCAUGAAAGCGGUACGCGAGCUGGGUUCAGAACGUCGUGAGACAGUUCGGUCCAUAUCCGGUGUAGGCGUUAGAAUAUUGAGAGGAGCCUUCUUUAGUACGAGAGGACCGAGAAGGACAUACCUCUGGUGUACCAGUUAUCGUGCCAACGGUAAACGCUGGGUAGCUAUGUAUGGAGUGGAUAACCGCUGAAAGCAUCUAAGUGGGAAGCCCACCUCAAGAUAAGUAUUCUCAUC
rnacentral:rRNA from 1 species